UGAGGAGGAACAUAUUUACUAG
rnacentral:miRNA from 2 species